rnacentral:rRNA from 1 species
CUAACACAUGCAAGUCGAACGGAAACGAUGCUAGCUUGCUAGCAGGCGUCGAGUGGCGGACGGGGGGGUAAUGUAUAGGAACUUGCCUAGUAGUGGGGGACAACUUAUGGAAACGUAAGCUAAUACCGCAUAAUCUCUACGGAGGAAAGCAGGGGAUCUUCGGACCUUGUGCUACUAGAUGGGCCUAUAUCGGAUUAGCUAGUUGGUAAGGUAAGAGCUUACCAAGGCGACGAUCCGUAGCUGGUCUGAGAGGAUGAUCAGCCACAUUGGGACUGAGACACGGCCCAGACUCCUACGGGAGGCAGCAGUGGGGAAUAUUGGACAAUGGGCGCAAGCCUGAUCCAGCAAUACCGCGUGUGUGAAGAAGGCCUUAGGGUUGUAAAGCACUUUCAGAUGUGAGGAAAAGCAGUCUAUUAAUAAUAGAUUGCCGUGACGUUAACAUCAGAAGAAGGACCGGCUAACUCCGUGCCAGCAGCCGCGGUAAUACGGAGGGUCCAAGCGUUAAUCGGAAUUACUGGGCGUAAAGCGCGCGUAGGCGGAUAUUUAAGUCAGAUGUGAAAUCCCUGGGCUCAACCUAGGAACUGCAUUUGAAACUGGAUAUCUAGAGUAUGGUAGAGGUGAGUGGAAUUUCAGGUGUAGCGGUGAAAUGCGUAGAGAUCUGAAGGAACAUCAGUGGCGAAGGCGACUCACUGGGCCAUUACUGACGCUGAGGUGCGAAAGCGUGGGUAGCAAACAGGAUUAGAUACCCUGGUAGUCCACGCCCUAAACGAUGUCAACUAGGUUGGAAGACUUGAUCUUUUAGUGGCGCAGCUAACGCAAUAAGUUGACCGCCUGGGGAGUACGGCCGCAAGGUUAAAACUCAAAUGAAUUGACGGGGGCCCGCACAAGCGGUGGAGCAUGUGGUUUAAUUCGAAGCAACGCGAAGAACCUUACCUACUCUUGACAUCGUCAGAACUUAGCAGAGAUAGAUUGGUGCCUUCGGGAACUGUGAGACAGGUGCUGCAUGGCUGUCGUCAGCUCGUGUUGUGAAAUGUUGGGUUAAGUCCCGUAACGAGCGCAACCCUUGUCCUUAUUUGCCAGCACGUAAUGGUGGGAACUUUAAGGAGACUGCCGGUGACAAACCGGAGGAAGGUGGACGCGACGUCAAGUCAUCAUGGCCCUUACGACCAGGGCUACACACGUGCUACAAUGGUAAGUACAAAGGGACGCCAAACCGCGAGGUGGAGCUAAUCCCACAAAGCUUAUCGUAGUCCGGAUUGGAGUCUGCAACUCGACUCCAUGAAGUCGGAAUCGCUAGUAAUCGUGAAUCAGAAUGUCACGGUGAAUACGUUCCCGGGCCUUGUACACACCGCCCGUCACACCAUGGGAGUGGAUUGCAAAAGAAGUGGAUAGCUUAACUUCGGGGGAGCGUUCACCA